CGACUGCAUCAAGAGGGGCAUAGCCCCACCAACCGCCCACUCCGGGAACGGUGGUCCAAAUGAUGCGCCAAUGGCUCUGCAUUGCAGACAUGGAACAUAAAGGAGACCU
rnacentral:ncRNA from 18 species